rnacentral:rRNA from 1 species
CACGUAGGGCGCGAGCGCUGUCCGGAAUUAUUGGGCGUAAAGAGCUCGUAGGCGGCCUGUUGCGUCCGCUGUGAAAGCCCGGGGCUUAACCCCGGGUCGGCAGUGGAUACGGGCAGGCUAGAGGUAGGUAGGGGAGAAUGGAAUUCCCGGUGUAGCGGUGAAAUGCGCAGAUAUCGGGAGGAACACCGGUGGCGAAGGCGGUUCUCUGGGCCUUACCUGACGCUGAGGAGCGAAAGCGUGGGGAGCGAACGGG